rnacentral:lncRNA from 1 species
CAACCAACAAACAGUUCUUUUCUACAAAGAACUACGUAACUUUGAGUUCUCCAUCACACCUGGAGAUACGUAACAAAUAUUUAAAAAAAAAACAAAAUAAUCACUUUUAGAAGAGGAUGCGUCAGAUGAAUUGGCGCAUCCCCUAACUAACAAAAGAAUGUGCCAAUAGCAUUGACGCAUGCAUUGGCCCUCAUGAGGAG